AAGGAGCUGAUUAAAUACAUUACUACUUACAUAAAAUAUUAGGAUAAAAAUAAAUCUACCUGGCAACACAGCGUUGUGAAACUGUAGAAUGGCAAGAAGAAGAAAAAGACAGCAUGGAAGCCUUUCCAGUUGUGAGUAAUUUGCUGAUUCAUUGUCAAGAGGAGACAAAUGAAACAAAAGGGAAAAUUCGUGUGCUGCUUAAACACAGAAUGAACGAGCUUUGUGGACUACUGGGCCCAGCUGAAUGGUUCUCACCUGAGGUCUGUCAUGUAGUAGAGGAAGCUGCAGUCAGCAGAAGGCAUGACUGAUUGCAUGCCAAAAAUGGCUCAGUCACAUGGGUGGAAUUUGAUGCCAGUUCCUGGUUGAGAGCUCAGCUAUGGCUAUUGACUGGAUAUCUACACAGGGCUGUCCUCGUGGCAUGGGAGUCUCACAAUGACAACUGAGUUCUCAGAAGGAGAGUGCCUACAGCAGGCACUCCAAAAGAGGGCACUCCCAGACCAAGAGAUGGAUUAGCUGUUUGCCACACUCCUUUUUAUUGCUAGUCUCCACGUCUUAACCUAUGAGAGACUGUAUAACUGAGCUGUAGAUGAAAUAAGGUGGGCCAAAGCAAUAUAUGCCACAAGGAAUACCCACAAGCAUGACUUACGUUAGUUUUCCUGCUCGACUCUAGGAAAUAAAGCAGAACAUAGACUCAGCUGCUCCACCAGCCCCAGUGUCCACCUACCUGGAACUCCCAUAGGUAUUAAAUAGGUGAACAUUAAAAACUUUCAGUUUGCUGAUCCAUUAUAUUUCUGAGUACACUUGUUGUUCAGCCUCACCUACCCCAAUGAAUAUAUGAUAUCAGACAUA
rnacentral:lncRNA from 1 species